CUUAACACAUGCAAGUCGAACGAGAAGUUCUUUUAUUGAACCUUCGGGGGAUAUAAGAGACAGACAGUGGCGAACUGGGUGAGUAACGCGUGGGCAACCUACCUAUCGGAGCGGGAUAGCCUCGAGAAAUCGGGAGUAAAACCGCAUAACACGGAUAUAUCGCAUGAUGAAUCCGUCAAAACUCCGGUGCCGAUAGAUGGGCCCGCGUCUGAUUAGCUAGUUGGUAAGGUAAGGGCUUACCAAGGCAACGAUCAGUAGCCGGUCUGAGAGGGCGAACGGCCACACUGGAACUGAGACACGGUCCAGACUCCUACGGGAGGCAGCAGUGGGGAAUAUUGCGCAAUGGGGGCAACCCUGACGCAGCAAUACCGCGUGAGUGAAGAAGGUUUUCG
rnacentral:rRNA from 1 species